rnacentral:misc_RNA from 1 species
GAACGCAUAUUGCGCUCUUUGGUAUUCCGAAGAGCAUGCUUGUUUGAGUAUCAGUAAACACCUCAAAACUCUUGAUCUUUUUCAAGCGUUUUGGACUUGAGCAAACCCAACGCCUUUUCUUUUAAGAUCUGUUGCGGCGGGUUGCUUGAAAAGCAGGGGCAGCUGGACAAUCUCCUGAGCUAAAAGCAUAUUUAUUUAGUCCCGUCAAACGGAUUAUUACUUUUUGCUGCAGCUAACAUAAAGGGAGUUUUGACCAUUAUGGCUGACUGAUGCAGGAUUUCACAAGGGUCGGCAACGAUUCUUGUAAAACUCGAUCUCAAAUCAAGUAAGACUACCCGCUGAACUUAAG